GUUGAUGGUGCGCCCAGUGUGCUCUAAGGAGAUUUUAUUGGCUCACAAAGCGCUCAGCCCGGCCCAUCACGGUGAAAUACUGCGCACUUCCACUGGAGGCCAAGGGCGCUCUCACCGGGGGGCCGAGGGGAUCUUUUAAAUCACAUGCUAUCACGUGCUAUCGUGGGCGCGCGCACACACACGCACACACAAAGGCACAGGGAAAGACAGAGGUGCGUACUGUAUGUUUACCGUUUAUAAUAUUUAAUGUCAGAAAUACAUUAAGCAUUCAGCGUUGUGUUUGCAAAAGGGGAUUGAAAAACUCAGCUCAGCUCUCAGUGCUGAGGAUCGAACGCUGGCGUGAUCAUCGAUCUCCGCCGGGCCGCUUCGGAAUCUGGGAAUUAAAAGCCCCCCCCUCCUCACCACUUGCUAAGAGGUCAGACGUGAAAAUGUGAAAUGCAUCCACACGCCGCCCCGGUGCUGCGGUUACCACGGCAGCCUUUAACCGUCCGACCACGUCAGCUGGAGGAGGCCUACUUCCUCUCCGGCCUGAGACCACAGAGUGAGAACGCCGUCACAGCCGUGCACCGAGCUGAGACACCGCCACCGCCACGUUUCCCUCAGAAGGGGCUGAAGCUUUCAGUGAGGAAUAGAUUGUCUGCAAUCACAAUAACUAACAGGCCCAUCGUAACAUUUGACCUUUAAGAGGGGGGUGGAUUUUCAUAAGACAGAGAAGGACAGAGAGACACGGAGGAGGCACCAGGCAGUGAGUAACCAUCGGGUUUCAUUUAAUGACAUCUGCAUGCGAGUAAAGCUCCAUAAGAAACGAAAGUGAGCACAACACCGACCCCUGAACAGCCCUUCAGUUCAAGAUAAGUCAUCUUUAUUGCGUCCUACUAGACAUCCUACAGCUCACCCCGUCCUCUUUGAAACCAACCUCUCUAGCAUUGCUUUUGAAUGCUGUGAAAUGACUUUUUGUCCACGUUCAUAUUCUUUGGAAAAAAGCUCUGACAGGAAUCACAGCAGCUGCAAUGCAGCCCCACAUGUUACAGACUGAAGAAUCCCCCGUCCGGCCCACAACACGCGCUGUGUCAGCCGGCAAAGGUCAAAGGCCGUGUGUCACACACACAAUGAUAGGGGCAAGGGGGGCGGGGGGGGGGGGAGUUGGAAACACGAGUCACUGCGAGUCACUGCGAGCACACGAGGGGGCCUUCGGCACGCAGCCGAAAAAAAUAAAUAAUUGUAGGAGCAGCAGGACGCAAGGUCGGCCGUGGUCGGACGGAGAAACUUGCCCACGCAAACAAACAAUACUCAUUAUCUG
ensembl:lncRNA